AGCAAUUUGAGCAGGACUCACGGAGAUCAGAAUGCAAAUGUGGCUAGAAUCCGGGUAGUUCAGGGAUCAUGAUGUCAGACUUCUUCACUAU